rnacentral:sRNA from 1 species
GGGUGACUCCUUGGCGCUUGCACGCUGUUUUGACGAAGAUUCGCACCUCUAUCAAAACGGGUAACCCCACCUCCUGGCAAGGCCCUACUGUCAGAUCAAGUCUGAACUUCUACACCUUAAGGCCGGAAAUCUCCAAGUCUAGGCGCUCGGCUAGUCGGGGGUAGGUCAGUCG